rnacentral:rRNA from 1 species
GACGAAGGGGGCUAGCGUUAUUCGGAAUUACUGGGCGUAAAGAGCGCGUAGGUGGUUUAACAAGUUGGAAGUGAAAGCCCAAGGCUCAACCUUGGAACUGCUUUCAAAACUGUUAAGCUAGAGUAUGGUAGAGGGUGAUGGAAUUCCUAGUGUAGAGGUGAAAUUCUGAGACAUUAGGAGGAACACCAGAGGCGAAGGCGAUCACCUGGGCCACUACUGACACUGAUGCGCGAAAGCGUGGGGAGCAAACAGG